rnacentral:tRNA from 1 species
CCGGCUGUAGCUAAAUGGUUAGAGCGUCGGUUUGUGGCACCGAAGACGUCGGGUUCGACUCCCGCCAGCCGGUCCA